GUGCUCGCUUCGGCGGCACAUAUACUAAAAUUGGAACGAUACAGAGGAGAUUAGCACAGCCCCUGCGCAAGAAAGGAGAUCUGCACCAUGAUAUGGCCGCCUUGGUU